rnacentral:rRNA from 1 species
UGGGGAAUAUUGCACAAUGGGGGAAACCCUGAUGCAGCCAUGCCGCGUGUGUGAAGAAGGCCUUCGGGUUGUAAAGCACUUUCAGCGAGGAGGAAAGGUUGAUGCCUAAUACGUAUCAACUGUGACGUUACUCGCAGAAGAAGAACCGGCUAACUCCGUGCCAGCAGCCGCGGUAAUACGGAGGGUGCAAGCGUUAAUCGGAAUUACUGGGCGUAAAGCGCACGCAGGCGGUUGGAUAAGUUAGAUGUGAAAGCCCCGGGCUCAACCUGGGAAUUGCAUUUAAAACUGUCCAGCUAGAGUCUUGUAGAGGGGGGUAGAAUUCCAGGUGUAGCGGUGAAAUGCGUAGAGAUCUGGAGGAAUACCGGUGGCGAAGGCGGCCCCCUGGACAAAGACUGACGCUCAGGUGCGAAAGCGUGGGGAGCAAACA